GCCCGGUUAGCUCAAUCGGUAGAGCGUGAGACUCUUACCAACCAUGUAAUCUCAAGGUUGCGGGUUCGACCCCCGCAUCGGGCU
rnacentral:tRNA from 1 species